UUUACUUGUCUCGGGAACAAAAGUUAGUGUAUCACGAUGAAUGAACAUUUCAUAAGCAGCAGUGAAUUCUGAUCUGGAAGUCAAUCAUGCUGAAAUGCAGUAUUAUCAGAUCACCACAUUACUAAGACUGGCAUAAAUUUAGCAGUGAGCCGCUACCAGUCCACAGGCUACAAGCCUCGGCCAGCCACACGACUUGAGGGAGAUCAGUCUGCGUUUGACAAUCUGCUACUGUUAUUGAGAAGAAAACAAUUUGAUGUUGGGGGAGAGUCCGUUUAGAAAUUGAUUGUGUAUGUCAGACUGGAAAACACUGGAAAAUACACACACACACAAAAAAAUGCGCCGCGUACUCUAGUAGAAGGCAGCCAUCUUCGUACUCGCCACCGAGAGAACCUCAAAUCGUACUUGGUCUCCAGGCAAAUGCAAGGAGAGUAUGUAUCCUUCUAAAUCUUCACAUUUAUUAUUCGCGACAUUGUGCUCUAAGUAAGGACAAAAAUAUAGAUAAAUGUGUUAAUUGAAUAAAAAUUUUCCAUCGUCUAGUAAAUAUAAAACGUAAAACGACGUUUCGGAGAUGGGACUCUAUCUCCGUCUUCAGGUUCCUACACAGUUGGGCCCACUAGAUAGAGCUAUUGAUAUAAAUGUGUUAGUUGGACUCAGCUGACUUAUAAUCUGAUCCAGUUUUGAAUAUUCUGUUUAUGCGUUAGUUUAGCCUUUAGUUUAACUAGGUGUUUGGUCACUUACUUUGUUAUCUAAAAUCCGUACUACAUAGUUGUGCUACUCCUUGCGUCGUGGUGUAAUAUUCAGCAUCCUAUUACGUAUAUUAUAAGCGAGAUAGUACAGAAUGACGUAAUGAACAACACGGUUAUGCAUCUUCCAUCAUUGGCUGCAUUGUCGUUUAUAGUUUGUAAUUAUGCAUAAACAAAGACAGUUUUGUGCAAAGGAAGUUGGUUAAUAAUUUAUUUAUUUAAUUGUAUAAUUUUAUACACUUGUAAUCUAGUGACAGGCUCUCACAGUGACAUCGGCAAUGACCCCGGGUUGACCUCUGUGGCCGUGACUGAGGAGGCUCUUACUAACCAUGAAAAUAAUGGCAUUUUAAUGUUUUACAAAGGACAAAUUCACUUUGUAGUUCCAUCAUAAAACACAUUGCAAAAUUUCACCUUGAGUAUCAUUAUUAACUUUUCUGUACAUUUACUUUGACGGACACAAACGCAUUAGCACUUCCUAUCCGAUACGUUUUCCUUUCAUUAUGAAACAAAUUUAAAAAGUCGUGGAGCAGAACUUUGUUAUGCACAGAAGUGUGUAUGUACUCAUAUUUACUUUUUAUACACAUGCAUAACCUGCUUGCGUGUACUUAUUAUAUGUGCAGUUAUGAAUGCCUACAUAUCCGUAUGUAGCUUUAUGCAUCUACGCGAGAUUUCUUCAGUCUUUAUAGCAGUAAAUGGGGAUUGUGGUUUCGUGGGUUAUGACGACGUGUAGCCUUGUAAGUAAACACCGACAAGACUGCAAGGCAUCAUAGCCCACAUGUGUACGCAUCUUAGUGAGAUCUGUCGUGAAGGUGGAAUUCGCUCAAGAUUGUGCCCAAUGAAGUGUUUACGGCUGUAGACGAAUUACGAAGCAACGUAGGUACAGUUAGCAAACAAUAACACAGUUUGUGAAAAGUGAGGUU